rnacentral:lncRNA from 1 species
CUGCACUCUCUCUGCAGGGUGGUGCCUUUUCAUUGUGCUACCAAGUGUUCUGCUGUGUGCUGAGAGUCUCGUGAAGGAAAAGGAUUCUUGAGCUGGGAAAAAUGAUCUUCACCAUGGCUGUGCCAGCGUGUGUCCUGCUAAUCCAGUCAGAAGUUACUCCAUCUCCCUCAGUCUACAGGCUGACCUCCAAAGAUGACCAGGGUCUGGAAAUGUGCCUUAUCACAGAUUACUCCCCUGAGAAGCUCACUCUGAACUCGGCUGAGCAGCACACAUCUGCUGUUGUGGAGGUGGCAACCACGGAGAACAGCGAGGAGUCCAGCUACCUGUCCACCUACUGGGCCAGGAGAGAUGAGCUGCACUGUGGUGCCAGCCACGAGGGCUUUGGAGAGCUGGAGGGCGAGGACCCUGAGAGUGGUGCCAGUGAUGUCUGUGUCACAGGGCUGUCCCUACAGUUCAGGACAGAUGAACACUUGAACACACUGUCUUUGUCACAGCUGGGCCUCAAAAUCGUUCUGAUGAAAGCAAUCAUUUUCAAUGUGCUGAUGACGAUGCUUAUGUGGAAGAAAAAAAAGGACUGAGAGUAACCAGGUGAUGCAGUCCUGAAGUACCAAACCCAUCUGCUUUGAGAGAGCAUCGUGAGCAAGAGGGAGCUGAGGGAUUAUUCUUUGUGCAAGGGACAUCCCUUCCUGCUCUUAUGUACCACACCAGCCAUUAUCUUCUAAAUUGCUUUAUUUGCAUUGCUAUAAAACUACUCAAAAUGAAACAUUUCCAGCAUUCUGCCCUCCAGAUGUCUGGGCCAUUCACCAUACAUUGCCUCUUUUGCAUGAAGCAGACUUUGCUAUAAUUACACAUUACCAAAAAUGUGUUGUUACUUGCAUUAAAGUGACAACUUCUGCCUGAGCAGUGCUGUGUGUUAAAAACUGCCAGCUAAAUAUGAGAAUUUUUCCUAUUUUGAUUGCUUUAGGUUAUUCAUAUGUGUUAGGGUACACCCCCAGAAACCUUUUCAGAUGCAAAUGAAACACUUUGAAAAGCAAAGGGAGUCUGACUCAAGAUGCACUGUCCUGCCACCCUUAUCUAGAUUAGAACAAGAUAUCCCAUUUUUUCCCUAAAGCAUGAGCUGCACAUCUCCCAGAAGUCCCAAAUUCAGUGAAAUUGUCACUUCAAUAUCACAGAAAAAAAAAUUAAAAAUUUUUAAAAUCUAUCUGACCAUAACACCUUCUUAAUUUAAACCAGUUUAAUUUGGCUUUGUGUUUAGUAAAAAUACAAUGUUCUUUCAAUGUUUAGUAAAAAUACAAUGUUCAUAGAAAAAUGUUCUUUUUGUUUCCUUCUAACAACCUGAGAUCUCUCUCUCUUCUUUUUGUAACAAUUGCAUAAAUAUUUACCUGUCCAUGUGGGCCCACCUUGGAACAGUGCUUGCCUGUGGCAUCUGCAUGCUGCUAAUUCAUGAACUGUACUGCCAUCCACAAGAUAUCUUGUUAUAAAACAAUUCUUACAAAAAAUGGGAAACUGGUUUGUCUCUUGU